rnacentral:lncRNA from 1 species
AUGCAAAUUCGAAAUGAAAGCCCGGAAACCCCGGAACUAGAACUGGUAUGGAGUCUCACUCUGUCGCCCAGGCUGGAGUGUAGUAGCGCAAUCUUGGCUCACUGCAACCUCGGACUCCCAGGUUCAAGAGAUUCUCCUGCAUCAGCCUCCCAAGUAGCUGGGACUACAGAUCUCUUCAACUACCUGUGAAAACUGAUGUGAUGAAAAGGGGAAUUUGAAGGAGCCAUUCCAGAAGACAGGGCGAAAACUGAAGUGCAAUCAGGGCCAAGAAAAACAGAAAUAGCAGGACCUGGAGUUGCAUAGGUUGAAUAGUUGAAUAGGCUGCUCUCCUCAGCUGGCAGGAAACCUGGCAGCCUCCUGGUGCCCAAGGACUGAAAACCUUAGAAGCACCUGGAGUUGGCAGCCUUGGCAUGGUCAGGUUGGCACCUCUGGAGGUGCCCAGGCUUCCCUGGCAGCAUUGUGAGCAGUGGAUGGUGUUGAAGGGCAGCCAGAGGAGGAAUGGAACACAUGCUCCUUGCUAACCACACGGACAAGGCCACGUUCACAGGUACACAAAGGACGGGGGUGGAAGGCCACCUUCGAUGGGUGCAUCCUCCACGAUGACCUGCUAACAAAGGUGCAUGGAUUUCAGAGUCUGAUUGGCCUACAACAGCAUUUGGCUUGUGGAGACAGUGGUUCCCUGAUGAAAAACUGCCAUGAUGGGAAUAGAAACAAUCAGAGGAAACUUCCGUGAGUUCCCAGGACACAUCCACCCACCUCCUCCACGUGUAACCACCACCUCUACCUUCCCCUCUGGUGCUGUGGAUGAGCCAUCCGUGCUCCUGGCAAAGGCCCACCUGCCACUUGGGCACAGGAACCCAUCCAUCCCUCCUUACCUCUGGUAACUCUCCCUCUCUCUCUCCUGCAUCCUUCAUAUUCUCUGGGUUGUAUUCUCUUCCAGCCCCCACCCCCUGCCCACCUCCAGCAUGUAAAAGUGCUGUUAUUGUUUCCACUUUAAAACAAACCCUAAAAAUAAGUAAAUAAAAUAAACCCUACCCUGACCCCACUUCACUCUAUA